UACGUAGGGUGCGAGCGUUAAUCGGAAUUACUGGGCGUAAAGGGUGCGCAGGCGGCGUCGCAAGUCAGGCGUGAAAUCCCUGGGCUUAACCUGGGAACUGCACUUGAAACUACGAUGCUGGAGUAUGGCAGAGGGAGGUGGAAUUCCACGUGUAGCGGUGAAAUGCGUAGAGAUGUGGAGGAACACCGAUGGCGAAGGCAGCCUCCUGGGCCAAUACUGACGCUCAUGCACGAAAGCGUGGGGAGCAAACAGG
rnacentral:rRNA from 1 species